AGGCCUGUAGCUCCAACGGCAGAGCACCCGGCUCCAAACCGGGGGGUUGGGGGUUCAAAUCCCUCCAGGCCUG
rnacentral:tRNA from 1 species